UGAAAGUUGCGCCCCUGGUAGAAGCAAAGAUGAGUGGAAUGACUUACACUUGUCAAUUUGUUGCAGCGUGGAAAUUAAAAUGUAAUGUCCCAGAAAUCUUAGCGUAACCAUCAAAAACAUACCUGGCUACACCGUGUUGUAUAAGGAAGGACACACAUAAAUCGGCAUCCAUGCGCAUGAAGGCAUAACAGCUAGCUAGCUAAGCUGAAAAAUGUCCUCCAUGUCUGCUGCCAGCAUCGGGCCAUUGAGGGCCAAUGAGGGCACAGAGAAGAAACCACUGAAACCCUGUUGUGCGUGCCCUGAGACGAAGAAAGUCAGGGAUGUUUGCAUCAUUGAGAAGGGUGAAGAAAGUUGCACAGAUCUCAUCGAGGCACAUAAGGAUUGUAUGAGGGCGCUUGGAUUCAAGAUUUAAUAUAACUCCAUAUAAUAAGUGGUCGUGGUGGGUGAUUGCCAAGAUGGAGACAUGGUGGCAUCAACACAGCAACCCCCCCCCCCCCAUCAGUCAUCUAUGUGUCGUUGGUGGCCGGCUGUCCGGAAGGAGACCUGGGAUAUUUCUCUUGUUUGUAUUUAUACUGCAACCUGAAUGGAAGAUGUGAUCGCUGCAAGGAUGGUGUUCCACUGAGUGAAAUGUGUUGGCUUAAUGCUCAGAUUUUCUGAAUGAUGUGAAUCUUGUUCUGCUGAUUAGAAUUAAAUAUAUGUCCUAUGCAAAA